CGAGGUGUAGCUUAACAAUGAAUAGCAUCUCCCUUACACUGAGAAGGCUUCCGUGCAAACCGGGACACUUCGA
rnacentral:tRNA from 1 species